rnacentral:rRNA from 1 species
GACCCGUAAUCCGGGUUGCGGACAGUGUCUGGUGGGUAGUUUGACUGGGGCGGUCUCCUCCUAAAGAGUAACGGAGGAGCACGAAGGUUGGCUAAUCCUGGUCGGACAUCAGGAGGUUAGUGCAAUGGCAUAAGCCAGCUUGACUGCGAGCGUGACGGCGCGAGCAGGUGCGAAAGCAGGUCAUAGUGAUCCGGUGGUUCUGAAUGGAAGGGCCAUCGCUCAACGGAUAAAAGGUACUCCGGGGAUAACAGGCUGAUACCGCCCAAGAGUUCAUAUCGACGGCGGUGUUUGGCACCUCGAUGUCGGCUCAUCACAUCCUGGGGCUGAAGUAGGUCCCAAGGGUAUGGCUGUUCGCCAUUUAAAGUGGUACGCGAGCUGGGUUUAGAACGUCGUGAGACAGUUCGGUCCCUAUCUGCCGUGGGCGCUGGAGAACUGAGGGGGGCUGCUCCUAGUACGAGAGGACCGGAGUGGACGCAUCACUGGUGUUCGGGUUGUCAUGCCAAUGGCACUGCCCGGUAGCUAAAUGCGGAAGAGAUAAGUGCUGAAAGCAUCUAAGCACGAAACUUGCCCCGAGAUGAGUUCUCCCUGAC